UAACCGAUGUAUAUUAGGCAUUGAAAGUAUCGACCCUUUCAGUGUCGUAGCUAACGCGUUAAAUAUNCCGCCUGGAAAGUNCGCCCGCAAGGCUAAAACUCAAAGGAAUAGACGGGGAUCCGCACAAGUGAAGGAUCAUGUGGUUUAAUUCGACGGUAAGCGAGAACCCUCACCAGGGUUUGAAACUAGGCUGCAAGGCUCAGAAAUGAGUCCGCCUUCGAGGGUGCCUAGCAGGUGCUGCAUGGUUGUCGUCAGCUCGUGUCGUAAGAUGUUCCGUUAAGUCGGAAACGAGCGCAACCCCUGUCGUGUGUUAUAUAUGUCACACGAGACUGCCCAGACUAGAGUUCAUGAAGAAAUUCGUGGCCUAUAGUCUGGGAGGAAGGAGGGGAUGACGUCAAAUCAGCAUGGCCCUUUGACACCCUGGGCAACACACGUGAUACAAUGGCCGGUACAGAGGGUUGCCAAGUCGCGAGACGGAGCCAAUCCCAAAAAACCGGUCUCAGUUCGGAUAGGAGUCUGCAACUCGACUCCUUGAAGCUGGAUUCACUAGUAAUCGGGAAUCAGAACGUCCCGGUGAAUACGUUCUCGGAUCUUGUACUCACCGCCCGUCACACCAAGAGAGUUGGUAACACCCGAAGGCCCCGUGUUAAACCGGGGACAACGGUGGGAUCGAUGAUAAGGGUGAAGUCGUAACAAGGUAACC
rnacentral:rRNA from 1 species